CUGAGACACGGCCCAGACUCCUACGGGAGGCAGCAGUGGGGAAUAUUGCACAAUGGGCGCAAGCCUGAUGCAGCAACGCCGCGUGAGUGAAGAAGGCCUUCGGGUCGUAAAACUCUGUCCUAAGGGAAGAAGAAGUGACGGUACCUUAGGAGGAAGCCCCGGCUAACUACGUGCCAGCAGCCGCGGUAAUACGUAGGGGGCAAGCGUUAUCCGGAAUCACUGGGCGUAAAGGGUGCGUAGGCGGCUGAUCAAGCCAGGAGUGAAAGGCAGUGGCUCAACCAUUGUAAGCUUUUGGAACUGGUCAGCUUGAGUGCAGGAGAGGAAAGCGGAAUUCCUAGUGUAGCGGUGAAAUGCGUAGAUAUUAGGAGGAACACCCGUGGCGAAGGCGGCUUUCUGGACUGUAACUGACGCUGANGCACGAAAGCGUGGGGAGCAAACAGGAUUAGAUACCCUG
rnacentral:rRNA from 1 species